rnacentral:tRNA from 2 species
GCGGUCGUGGUGGAAUUGGUAGACACGCUACUUUGAGGGGGUAGUGGGUGUAAACCUGUGCCGGUUCGAGUCCGGCCGACCGCA